rnacentral:rRNA from 1 species
AUAUAGCUCAGUAACACGUGGCCAAACUACCCUACAGACCGCAAUAACCUCGGGAAACUGAGGCCAAUAGCGGAUAUAACUCUCAUGCUGGAGUGCCGAGAGUUAGAAACGUUCCGGCGCUGUAGGAUGUGGCUGCGGCCGAUUAGGUAGAUGGUGGGGUAACGGCCCACCAUGCCGAUAAUCGGUACAGGUUGUGAGAGCAAGAGCCUGGAGACGGUAUCUGAGACAAGAUACCGGGCCCUACGGGGCGCAGCAGGCGCGAAACCUUUACACUGCACGACAGUGCGAUAGGGGGACUCCGAGUGUGAGGGCAUAUAGCCCUCGCUUUUCUGUACCGUAAGGUGGUACAAGAAUAAGGACUGGGCAAGACCGGUGCCAGCCGCCGCGGUAAUACCGGCAGUCCAAGUGAUGGCCGAUAUUAUUGGGCCUAAAGCGUCCGUAGCUUGCUGUGUAAGUCCAUUGGGAAAUCGACCAGCUCAACUGGUCGACGUCCGGUGGAAACUACACAGCUUGGGGCCGAGAGACUCAACGGGUACGUCCGGGGUAGGAGUGAAAUCCUAUAAUCCUGGACGGACCACCAAUGGGGAAACCACGUUGAGAGACCGGACCCGACAGUGAGGGACGAAAGCCAGGGUCUCGAACCGGAUUAGAUACCCGGGUAGUCCUGGCUGUAAACAAUGCUCGCUAGGUAUGUCACGCGCCAUGAGCACGUGAUGUGCCGUAGUGAAGACGAUAAGCGAGCCGCCUGGGAAGUACGUCCGCAAGGAUGAAACUUAAAGGAAUUGGCGGGGGAGCACCACAACCGGAGGAGCCUGCGGUUUAAUUGGACUCAACGCCG